GAAAAUGGUGCAGGACAGCUUCAAGAAAACAGUUGAUUUCAAACUAUGGAUAUCAUAGCUAAUUGAGGUAAGACAGUGAUUCUGCUCAUAGAUUAUGCAUGUAUGAACUACAUAUUGACACAUCCAGCCCAAAUACUUUCUUAGUUGCCAAAGUAGCAGAGCAUGUCUUUAACCAAGAAGCCCCAAUGUGUUACAACUGGAUAAGGUGUCUGUGCAACAGCCCCAAUGUGUUACAACAGGAUAAGGUGUCUGUACAACAGCCCCAAUGUGUUACAGACAGGACAAGGUGUCUGUACAACAGCCCCAAUGUGUUACAACAGGAUAAGGUGUCUGUGCAACAGCCCCAAUGUGUUACAACAGGAUAAGGUGUCUAUGUGAACAGCCCCAAUGUGUUACAACAGGAUAAGGUGUCUAUGUGAACAGCCACGUUACUUCAAAUUAGAGUGCAGUCAUAACUCACAGCUCUAAGUUUUCUAUAACUCUGUUCCUCUACCAAUACACAAACUCUAUGUCCUCCUGGGCAGUGUGCUCUGUGAGCAGUGACAAAGGUAGAAACAGUAUCUAACCCUGUGUGUUCUGGGGGUUGAGAAAUAAGUAGAGAGUGUGACAGGUAGAGACAGUGGGACCGGUAGCGACAGUGGGACAGGAAGAGACAGUGGGACAGGUAGAGACAGUGGGACAGCUAGUUAAAAUGGGACAGGUAUAUACAGUGGGCCAGGUAGAGACAGUGGACCAGGAAAAAAAAACAUUGGGACAGGUAGAGACAGCGGGGCAGGUAGAGACAGUGUAACAGGGAGAGACAGAGAGACAGAGCGAGACAGAGGGACAGGUAGAGACAGUGGGACAGGUAGAGACAGUGUCCUCCCCAGGCCAGUGUGUGCCCAUAGCUGAAGCUGUGUGUUUUCUCUCGGGGCCCCUCCCGGUAAGAGAACACCAUUUUAACAGAGGGCCAGGAAACAAGGGUUGGACGAGGAGCCAGGGUUAGUUAGGGAACAAGGAGGACAGUGUCUUUUGGUUUCGUCCCAAAUGGCACCCUAUUCCCUUUAUAGUGCACUACUUCUGACCAGGGCCCAUAGAGUGGCAUUUGGGACGCUACCUCACUAAGGAGUAUCCUCACUAAGGAGUAUCCUCACUAAGGAGCUUCCACGUUCACAUGACUGGUGAUGAGGCGGCUGGUGCCUUGAGAG
ensembl:lncRNA